rnacentral:rRNA from 1 species
UACGUAGGGUCCGAGCGUUGUCCGGAAUUACUGGGCGUAAAGAGCUCGUAGGUGGUUGUCGCGUUGUUCGUGAAAACUCACAGCUCAACUGUGGGCGUGCGGGCGAUACGGGCAGACUAGAGUACUGCAGGGGAGACUGGAAUUCCUGGUGUAGCGGUGGAAUGCGCAGAUAUCAGGAGGAACACCGGUGGCGAAGGCGGGUCUCUGGGCAGUAACUGACGCUGGAGGAGCGAAAGCCUAGGGGAGCAAACGGG